rnacentral:rRNA from 1 species
GCGAAUAAAAGUCCUUGAGUAGGGCGGGACACGUGAAAUCCUGUCUGAAAUUGGGGGGACCACCCUCCAAGCCUAAGUACUCGUGCAUGACCGAUAGCGAACUAGUACCGUGAGGGAAAGGUGAAAAGCACCCCGACAAGGGGAGUGAAAGAGUACCUGAAACCGAUUGCCUACAAACAGUGGAAGCCCAAGGUUCGUCCUGGGUGACCACGUACCUUUUGUAUAAUGGGUCAGCGACUUAGUGUGACGAGCAAGCUUAAACCGCUAGGUGUAGGCGCAGCGAAAGCGAGUCUGAACAGGGCGUUCAGUUCGUCGCAUUAGACCCGAAACCGAGUGAUCUAGCCAUGAGCAGGUUGAAGGUAAGGUAACACUUACUGGAGGACCGAACCCAUAACUGUUGCAAUAGUUCGGGAUGACUUGUGGCUAGGGGUGAAAGGCCAAUCAAACUCGGAAAUAGCUGGUUCUCCGCGAAAUCUAUUUAGGUAGAGCGUCGACCGAAUACCCCAGGGGGUAGAGCACUGGAUGGGCUAGGGGUCCUCACCGGAUUACCAAACCUAACCAAACUCCGAAUACCUGGGAGUACUAGUCGGCAGACACACGGCGGGUGCUAACGUCCGUCGUGAAAAGGGAAACAACCCUGACCUACAGCUAAGGUCCCCAAGUUAUGGCUAAGUGGGAAAGGAUGUGAGGAUCCCAAAACAACCAGGAUGUUGGCUUAGAAGCAGCCAUCAUUUAAAGAAAGCGUAACAGCUCACUGGUCUAAAUAAGGGUCUUUGCGCCGAAAAUGUAACGGGGCUAAAGCCAUACACCGAAGCUUAGGGUUUGGUCCGCAAGGGCCAAGCGGUAGCGGAGCGUUCUGUAAGCUGAUGAAGCCAUACCCGUGAGGGGUGGUGGAGGUAUCAGAAGUGCGAAUGCUGACAUGAGUAACGUAAGGGGAGUGAGAGACUCCCCCGCCGAAAGACCAAGGGUUCCUGCUUAAAGCUAAUCUGAGCAGGGUAAGCCGGCCCCUAAGGCGAGGCCGAAAGGCGUAGUCGAUGGGAACCAGGUUAAUAUUCCUGGGCCAGGAGAUGGUGACGGAUCCCGAGGGUAGUUCGAUCUUAACGGAUUGAUCGGGCUGCUUAGGGGUCCCUGGAAAUAGCCCUCCACAAGACCGUACCCUAAACCGACACAGGUGGACUGGUAGAGAAUACCAAGGCGCUUGAGAGAACCACAUUUAAGGAACUCGGCAAAAUACCUCCGUAAGUUCGCGAGAAGGAGGCCCGGUUUUUGCGCAAGCAGAGGCCGGGGGCACAAACCAGGGGGUGGCGACUGUUUACUAAAAACACAGGGCUCUGCGAAGUCGCAAGACGACGUAUAGGGUCUGACGCCUGCCCGGUGCUGGAAGGUUAAGAGGAGGGGUGCAAGCUCUGAAUCGAAGCCCCAGUAAACGGCGGCCGUAACAAUAACGGUCCUAAGGUAGCGAAAUUCCUUGUCGGGUAAGUUCCGACCUGCACGAAUGGCGUAACGACUUCCCCGCUGUCUCCAGCAUAGACUCAGUGAAAUUGAAUUCCCCGUGAAGAUGCGGGGUUCCUGCGGUUAGACGGAAAGACCCCGUGCACCUUUACUAUAGCUUUACAUUGGCAUUCGUAGUGGCAUGUGUAGGAUAGGUGGUAGGCUUUGAAACCUGGGCGCCAGCUCAGGUGGAGCCACCCUUGAAAUACCACCCUUAUUACUAUGGAUGUCUAACCGCGGCCCGUUAUCCGGGUCCGGGACAAUGUAUGGUGGGUAGUUUGACUGGGGCGGUCGCCUCCUAAAGAGUAACGGAGGCGCGCGAUGGUGGGCUCAGAACGGUCGGAAAUCGUUCGCUGAGUGCAAUGGCAUAAGCCUGCCUGACUGCGAGACUGACAAGUCGAGCAGAGA